rnacentral:rRNA from 1 species
AGGACGAACGCUGGCGGCGUGCUUAACACAUGCAAGUCGAACGAGGUCCCAACGGUGGCAACACCGGGAAAGGCCUAGUGGCGAACGGGUGAGUAACACGUGAGUAACCUGCCCCGAAGACCGGGAUAACAGCCGGAAACGGCUGCUAAUACCGGAUGUCCUCACUUGAUCGCAUGGUCGUGUGAGGAAAUGGACUCCGCUUCGGGAGGGGCUCGCGGUCUAUCAGCUUGUUGGUGGGGUGAUGGCCUACCAAGGCGACGACGGAUAGCUGGUCUGAGAGGACGAUCAGCCACACUGGGACUGAGACACGGCCCAGACUCCUACGGGAGGCAGCAGUGGGGAAUCUUGCGCAAUGGGCGAAAGCCUGACGCAGCAACGCCGCGUGAGGGAUGAAGGUCUUCGGGUUGUAAACCUCUUUCAAGCAGGGACGAUAAUGACGGUACCUGCAGAAGAAGCUCCGGCCAACUACGUGCCAGCAGCCGCGGU